rnacentral:rRNA from 1 species
AUUGAACGCUGGCGGCAGGCCUAACACAUGCAAGUCGAACGAGUGGCAGACGGGUGAGGAAUGUCUGGGAAAAUGCCCGAUGGCGGGGGAUAAGGACUGGAUACGGGAGCCAAUACCGCAUACCAUCGGAUGUGCCCAGCUGGGAUUAGCUAGGAGGUGGGGUAACGGCUAACCUAGGCAACGAUCCCUAGCUGGUCUGAGAGGAUGAACAGCCACCCCGGAACUGGGACACGGUCCAGACUCCUACGGGAGGCAGCAGUGGGGAAUAUUGCACAAGGGGCGCAAGCCUGAUGCAGCCAUGCCGCGUGUAUGAAGAAGGCCUUCGGGUUGUAAAGUAUUUUCAGCGAGGAGGCGUUACUCGCAGAAGAAGCACCGGCUAACUCCGUGCCAGCAGCCGCGGUAAUAC